UACGUAGGUGGCAAGCGUUGUCCGGAUUUACUGGGCGUAAAGAGCGCGCAGGCGGUCGUUCAAGUCGAGUGUGAAAGCCCCCGGCUCAACUGGGGAGGGUCACUCGAUACUGAUCGACUUGAAGGCAGAAGAGGGAAGCGGAAUUCCCGGUGUAGUGGUGAAAUGCGUAGAUAUCGGGAGGAACACCAGUGGCGAAGGCGGCUUUCUGGUCUGUUCUUGACGCUGAGGCGCGAAAGCUAGGGUAGCAAACGGG
rnacentral:rRNA from 1 species